AGGACUUUUCUCUAGUUUCUAAAGCGGUGGAGUUUCUGUUGAGAGCCUCUAAUUUCAUUGACUCCUUCACUUCCGAAAUUCGGUUACACGCUUUUCCACCAUUUCUAACUCUCUCUCACACUCACACACCAUCAUCAUCAACAACAAUGGAGAUCCGCGAAUCGAUCAGCAACCAAACCGACGUAGCUUUAGGAAUCUCGAAGCACCUACUGUUAACCGAAGGCAAGGACUCGAACCUCGUGUUCUCUCCUCUCUCGAUCCACGUCGUGCUGAGCUUAGUCGCUGCUGGGUCAAAGGGUUCCACGCUCGAUCAAUUCCUCUCUUUCCUCAAAUCCAAGUCCGUCGACCACAUCAACUCCUUCCUUAAGCUAGAUCAAGGAGGUGGAGACUGGGGAGGGAAAAGCAAUAUACAUCGAUGCAGAGGGCACAUUUAGGCCGGCCACAGAGACUAUUACAGAUAGCAGAAAGGUUUGGACUGGAUGGUCCUGAUGUCUUGGAUAAUGUGGCUUAUGCAUGCUAGAGCUUAUAACACUGAUCAUCAGUCAAGACUUGCAGCUUCAAUGAUGGUGGAAACAAGGCAAAGGGCUGUCUUCUUCGGUGGGACUUUGAGACACAGGAGGAAUGGGCAACUUACAAUGAGCACAAAGAAGCAAUGCCAAAAGCUGCAUUUCAGUUUGGUGUGAAGAUGCAAGAUGGUCAAAACACACAGAAACAAAACAGGGACCAGAAGCUCAAUAAUGAGCUGCACCAGAUUAACAAGAUACUUACCAGAAAGAGAUGAAUUUUGGUGAGGGUGCCAACCACUAUGAAGAUGACCUGCAACCUGGAAGGAAAGAAGCUUCGAAUAUGAAAUUUGAUAGUUGUUCUAGUGUUUAAGAGAAGUUUUCUUUUGUAAUCUGAAAUU